rnacentral:rRNA from 1 species
UACGGAGGGUGCAAGCGUUAAUCGGAAUUACUGGGCGUAAAGCGCGCGUAGGCGGCUGAGUAAGUCGAUUGUGAAAUCCCCGGGCUCAACCUGGGAAUUGCAGUCGAGACUGCUCGGCUAGAGUGUGGCAGAGGGGGGUGGAAUUCCGCGUGUAGCAGUGAAAUGCGUAGAGAUGUGGAGGAACACCGAUGGCGAAGGCAGCGCCCUGGGCUAGUACUGACGCUCAUGCGCAAAAGCGUGGGGAGCAAACAGG